AUACGGAGGAUGCAAGCGUUAUCCGGAUUUAUUGGGUUUGAAGGGUGCGUAGGCGGUUUGCUAAGCGGGAGGUGAAAUGCCGGCGCUCAACGUCGGAAGUGCCUCCCGAACUGGUGGACUUGAAUGACUCUGCCGUGGGAGGACUGUGUAGUGGAGCGGUGAAAUGCUUAGAGAUUACACAGAACACCGAUUGCGAAGGCAUCUCACGAAGGGUUGAUUGACGCUGAGGCACGAAAGCGUGGGGAUCAAACAGGAUUAGAUACCCUGGUAGUCCACGCAGUAAACGAUGAUGGCUAACCGCUGGGCUUAUCAGUUCAGUGGCCAAGCGAAAGCGAUAAGCCAUCCACCUGGGGAGUACGACCGCAAGGUUGAAACUCAAAUGAAUUGACGGGG
rnacentral:rRNA from 1 species